UAGGGAAUAGUAUAAUUGGGAGUACUAAGGGUUUUGAUCUCUUGGGUACAGGUUCGAGUCCUGUUUUUCUAA
rnacentral:tRNA from 1 species